UACAGAGGGGGCGAGCGUUGUUCGGAAUUACUGGGCGUAAAGGGCGCGUAGGCGGCCUUCUAAGUCGAACGUGAAAUCCCCGGGCUCAACCCGGGAACUGCGUCCGAUACUGGGGGGCUUGAAUCCGGGAGAGGGAUGUGGAAUUCCAGGUGUAGCGGUGAAAUGCGUAGAUAUCUGGAGGAACACCGGUGGCGAAGGCGGCAUCCUGGACCGGUAUGACGCUGAGGCGCGAAAGCUAGGGGAGCAAACGGG
rnacentral:rRNA from 1 species